ensembl:snRNA U6 U6 spliceosomal RNA
GUGCUCACUUUGACAGCACAUAUACUAAAAUUGGCACAAUACAUAUAAGAUUAGCAUGGCCUCUGCGUGAGAAUAACAUGCAAAAAGUGCAUAAACAGCCAUUA